UAAGGAAUAUUGGUCAAUGGACGCAAGUCUGAACCAGCCAUGCCGCGUGAAGGAUUAAGGUCCUCUGGAUUGUAAACUUCCUUUAUUUGGGACGAAAAAGGGUCUUUCUAGAUCAACUGACGGUACCAGAUGAAUAAGCACCGGCUAACUCCGUGCCAGCAGCCGCGGUAAUACGGAGGGUGCAAGCGUUAUCCGGAUUCACUGGGUUUAAAGGGUGCGUAGGCGGGUAGGUAAGUCAGUGGUGAAAUCCUUGAGCUCAACUCGAGAACUGCCAUUGAUACUAUUUAUCUUGAAUAUUGUGGAGGUAAGCGGAAUAUGUCAUGUAGCGGUGAAAUGCUUAGAUAUGACAUAGAACACCUACUGCGAAGGCAGCUUACUACGCAUAUAUUGACGCUGAGGCACGAAAGCGUGGGGAUCAAACAGGAUUAGAUACCCUGGUAGUCCACGCCCUAAACUAUGAUUACUCGACAUUUGUGAUACACUAUAAGUGUCUGAGCGAAAGCAUUAAGUAAUCCACCUGGGAAGUACGUCCGCAAGGAUG
rnacentral:rRNA from 1 species